rnacentral:misc_RNA from 1 species
CUCUAGAUGACAAACUUUUUUCUCCGCUGCAUGCACAAGUACAAGCAGAAGUGGGUUGUUCGUAUUACUCCAUCGCUAAUGACUGGAGCAGCUGUAACAGUGGGGUGCAAUCUCAUAAUGGCACUAAUGAAAUAGAUGCUGCCUAUGUAACUAAUUUCCUGAAUGACAUCCUUCAGCAGCCAUCUGAGUAUGGUUGUGAGGAGUCUGACAGCAUUAAGAAUAUUGCCUUAGAUGAGUGUCCUGAAUCUUAUACUGGAUUAGUGACCAGAACUUUGCUUGAAGAGGAGUUGCAAGGUCCUGUGUGGCCUGAGGAGGAUAUUGACAUAAAGCCACCUUUACAUGUGGAAACAAUCCCAGAAGAUAGCAGAUCUCUAAUUUUUAAUCAUAACAUUGUUGAACAGCAUUCAUUGCAUAAUGAAUUAUAUGGAAGCCAAAGUUUUGCAUCAAGUUCUGCUGCAGAUCAAUUAACAAGUUUCAAAAAAAUAAGGAGCCAUACUAAUCAAAUUGGCAGCAGUGAGAGUGUUGG